ensembl:snRNA U1 U1 spliceosomal RNA
AUACUGGCAGAGGAGAUACCUUGAUCACGAGGUGGCUUCCCCAGGGAGAGGCUUAUCCAUUGCACUCCAGAUGUGCUGACCCCUGCGAUUUCCUCAAAUGUGGGAAACUCAGUGACAUAAGUUGUGGUAGUGGGGGACUGCGUUCAUGUUCUCCCCUA